rnacentral:lncRNA from 1 species
AAAGUUUAAUAACAUACAUACAUGGGAGAGACCCAGGAAAACUGACUGACUCCUCUGCUUAAUUUCAUACUUUGGAUGGUAUCAACCAAGCAAUGCCUACUAACCAGAUCUCCCCAGACAGAAGGCACAGGAUCAGGCAUUGUGGUGGGAUGUAGAAAGAUGCUUAAAGUGCUUAGGAAGAGGCAGUGAGGAGUCUCAAAGGAAGUAUGAGUCCAUCUAUUGUGGUUGCUGAACACAGGCCCUCGAGACGAGGUGGGUGUGGCUGGGCCUUGAGGAGCAUCAGAGAGUGGGGCUCUGCACACGGUGGGGGGGUGCACCCCGAGGCCACAGAGAGUAUGGCAUAUUCAGGGACCCCAAAGAGACCAGUGUGGAGAAGAGGGCAUUAGCACAAGAGGGAAAUCUACGAGAAGAGUUUUCACAUCACAUCAUGAGAGGCCUUCACUGACAUGCUAAAUAAUUGCUAUUUCUUUGGAGAUGCUGUAAGAGAAAACACUUCUGACAGCAGAUGCGUGGGGUUUUCCUCGGCACGGAGCAGCUGGCUCUCAGAAGCCCAUACUUUAGGGGUUUUUAUAGAGGCUUCAUCCUGUGGGCAUGAGAGAUUACCAGCCAUAUCUCUAGCCCUGUCCCCUCUCCAGGGAACAGUGGGUGGGAUAAAAGUUCCAAACUUCUAACCCUGGCUUGAUCUUUCUGCUGACCAGCCCCCGUCCUAAAGCUAUUUAGGAGCCCAUCAGAUUCUCAUUAGAACAAAAGACGCUCCUAUCAUCCAGGAAGUUACAAGGGUUUUAGGGACUCUAAGUCAGGAACUGGGGGCAGAGACCUACAUAUAUUUAUUAUUAUCUCACAAGGGCAGUUGUACCUCUUGAUGAUUUUCAAGUAAGGGAGAAAUGACAUAAGCUGGGUUUUAGGGAAGUUAGCUAUUCUGAACACAGGCGGUAGACAUGGAGGAGGACUGGUUAUUGCGGCGGGAUUAGAGAAGAAUGGAUGGAGGCGACAGUGGAAAGAACUGCCAUAUUCAUCAUAAUUCGGUGGCAGAUGCCCUACUCUUUACUAGACUUAAAACACUGGGAUAGCAACCAAACCUCUCUAAGUUUUAUUCAGUUCUAAAUUGGGGAUGUCAACCCUGACUUAUACUGAGGUAGUCAAGGGAUCAAAAGUUUGGUCCAAAUACACACACUACUACUAUCCUUAAAAUGCUCAAUUCUUAUCUUUCUCUGUAAGAAAUAAAUUUAUACAAGUGUGUUUUGUAAUAUGUUGAACAACACAUCCAUUUGUAAUGAUCACAGUACUUUUACUUGAAUCGUAAACACACCUAAUUCUACCCCUUGAGCUGUGCCAAGUUCAGGUGUGGAUAUUAAACCUACCGAUGAAGGAAGACGAGACGGUCUCAAGGAACUACCGUGGGAGUUGAGACUCAGCCUCAUGAGUGCUGUUCAGCUCACUGCAAAGGGUAUUCAGAAGAGAAGGGUGGAAAAGGGGUACGUGGCUUAGGGGCAGGGAGAAGAGAGUUAAUCAACCAUGUGCGAGGUGGCAUAAUAUUGUCUGCAUUUUCAGAGGAAUAUUGUGAAAAUGAAUGGGAUAUUACCUCCAAAGCAAUUAGAGAUGUUUGGACAAAAGCCACUAUGAGAAAAAUUCUAAUGUAUCAUUUCUGAAAGGCAUUUUAAAAACAAGUUGGCUUGUAAGGCGAAACAGAAGAACAGCUUUGUCUUAAAAGAUGUUUUCAGACCCUUUGUGGAAUGAAGUUGAACACCUUAUGUAAACGGAAACCUUCAGAAUUGUGAUUAUGAAAAGCUAAUAGAAAGAGAUGAAUGCAAGGCCGCUAUCUGAGUCACCGGUGGCAAGAAGAGAAGGUGGUCUAACAGGAUGGAACAAAAACAGAGCAUACAGUGUCAGGAUUUUCUAGAGAAAAGUAGAGAUUUUUCUUUCCUUCAGACAAUAUGUUACGCAUAUGGCAAUUUUCUUAGCUUGAUAAACAUCUACAAGGAGAUAAGUUUGAGACAGAUGGUAGUCUCACGAUUUUGCUGUAUUAAUUUCCGUGCCAUUAGACUGAAUAAUUCACAAUUCAGAUGAUCAUCUCGAUUUCUGUUCUGGGAAAUCAACAGACCCCAUCAGGGUACGUGACCAAGGGUGGCAAGAAAGAUACCCCAGGUGCCUUUGGUGGCUGAUUAUCCUGCGGUGAUGAGGAAAUGGGGGUAAACACCAAGUCUGGAGACUCCAGAAAUGGAGACAAGGCCACACGUGGGCAUCUCCUGGCCGCUAGUGGGCGCUCCGUGAACUUGUGAGAGGAAGAAGAAGCCGAGAAUGCUGAUGGCCACACAGGGUUUUUCUACGCCACAGAAGUGUCAGAUAUAAGCAUGUUAACAGGUCAGAGAACUAAACAGAAGGGAGAAAAAACCCCUAUAAGGGAAAGCAGUGACAAGUUACUGUUAUUCAUGCAUAAAUGACAUUUGACACUUUUAAGGUUUUUGCCAUCAGAGAAUUAACACACAUUAAACGGGUACCUUUAAAAAGGGACGACAGAGUGCAAGCGCCCCCCGCGCUCCCCCACACACCAUCGUGCACUGCAGGACCAGCUCCCCUGUCUCCUCUGCAGGGACUUAAGCUAAGCAGCCAAGUGCCUCUAACAGAAAACGGAAUUCGAACAGCCAGACCGCCCUUCAUCCCAGUCAGUUUCUCCUACAUCUCACACAAGCACUUUCAGGUUCCUCUUGGGAACACAGGUUUGGAAGAUGGAUUAACAGUUCAAGGAAGUGCCUCAACCUGGGCACAGGUGCCACUUUACAUCCUCUGCGUGGGGCCGUCUUUCACUGGGUAGGACGUUCAGCCCCGUCCCUGGCCUCUUCCCUCUAGACGCCAACACUACCCUCCAACCCUCCUUUGAGGCAACCAAAAAUGUCUCCAGACACUUUCAAAUGUCCCCUAGGAGGGAAAAUCUUUCCCAGUUGAAAACCAGUACUCUAGAUAGGAUAGGAAAAAGUAACCUAAUGAUGGCAAAGAGUCAGUGCUGUUUCUGGACCCAAGGGAGUACCAUGGUAUUUACAGUUAACGGGAGAUGUGGACAGAAAAUGCGGACAGCAUUGCUAAGAGUCAUUCUGCCAAAGCAACAGCAAACAAGGCUGGUGUGGUUCCUGGCAUCACAAGAAAUGCUAAGUUUUGCUCACACAUCACUUACAAAAAUAUUGCCUCAUUGGAUCCUUAACUUAUAUUAUAUAUUGUAGUAAUGUGAAAAUGUGUAAUUUAUGAAAUAUAUAGCAUAUGUGUACAUAUACAUUAAAUGUGGAACUCUGUCACAUAUUAUGUUAUAUAUAUUUUAUGUGAAUAUACAUAUAAUAUAUAUGUGAAAAAUAUAUUAUCUCUAGCCCUGGAUUAGAAAACCAAGGCUUGAUGUGGUUGAGUCAUUUGUCCAAGAUCAUACAGUGAACAAGAUCAAGAUCAGGCUUAAAUGCAGGCCUUCAGACUCCAGAUUCUGGAUUCUUUUCAUAAAAUGUCUCUCAGGGAAGGUGGAGAGAACUAGGGGUCACCAAGCCAGAAACCACUGAGAUGCAGCAUUAACAGCAGUAGGGCUCGGAGCGGCAACAGGAGGCAUCAGUUACCUUUAAAAUGUAGUGGGAGGAAGAGGGGAAGAGGAAAGAGGUUGGGAGGGGUCCCUACUCUCUACACCUGUGAAACAUUUGUCUUCUGUUUCGAGAGAUCAUUUGCAGACUAGCUUCCUCUAUGUGUUUCACACUUUAAUCUUGUAUCUGAUGUUAUUGCCUGGAACUCACUAAACCAACAGGGUACAGAUAGAAAAAUACUUACUUUUUUUUUAACUUCAUCCUAUAAAAUUUUUAUUUUGUGUUUUUAAUAUACAAAUAUUUGUAUAGUAAUUUAUGCAUUGCAUUAUAUAAUAUAUUACUAUUAUAUAUUAUUACAGUAAUAUACCUAACAUAUAACAGAUAUAAUAUACCUAUGGGAUGCAUGUUGGGUUUUCAUGCAUAAUUUCUAUUUAACUCAUAAAGUGCAUGGGCAACCAAAAGAAUUGAAAACUGUUUUUCUAAAAAAAUUAUGCAAUUACUCACUAGAAAUCUCAUUCAACUCAGCCUCCACAAGUCCUCCAUGGCGCUCUCGGCCUUUCCUUCUGUCUGCUGUCAGAAGCUCUUCUCCCCGCCACCCCAGAGGCCUGGCCCUAACCUGGAAGUGGCUUCUCCUUUCUCCCUCACCUCCUCAUGCUGAGGUCGCCCGGGCCUGCCAAUCCUGCUCCUUUUCUCACUUUAAUUGGACCCCGUGUGGUUCAGGCCCCCAUGGCCCCCGUAACACCUGCUUGUCCAUCCACCUCAAGCCCUGCUCCCUCCAGUUCUUUCUCUGCAACUUAAAGGAACGUGUAUUUAGGAGGUGAGUGAGGUCCUGUUACUGCUUCUGUCUGGGGCCCUUUGUGGAGGCCCAGAGCCCCUGGCUGCCUCCAGGCCUCACCUGCCACCCCCUACCCCCGGGCACCCAGGCACCUCCUCACUCUGUCUUAGCCCCUGCAGGCUGCCCUCUGCCUUCCCACUGAUGUCCCUUUGGCUCCCAGAAUGCAACUCGGGCACUUCCUCCUCAGAAGCCCUGACCUGUUUGCCCCACACCCUGGAGCCGGGAGCUGUCCUCAAGUGUCCCCUGGUGCCGACGCACACUCGGCUCAGCCCUGAGCAUCUGCUUUGCUCUUAGGACUCUUCCGAAGGACGAGAAGCUCCAGAAGGGCAAGGGGCCCAUGUUCUCGGGCACCUCAUGUGUUACCCACACGAAUCAGACUCUCAAUAAACAUCCAUAAAAUGAAUGAGAAAGCGAGUGACUGAAGGAGCAAACGGAUCAGUAAGUCAAUCAACGAGCAGUCUGACCAGGCUGAAACCAUUCUGACUGCCAUCCAGGGAGAUUACUCAGCUCUCCCUUUCUUCCCUGUGUUGCUCUCCUGCUUUUUGUCCUUCCUUCCUUCUUUCCUACCUUGGAUAGUUCCUUCCUCCCCUCUGCCUUCUUUUCCUCCUUUCCGUUCACAUAGAAUUGUAGCAUCAUCAUAUAUAUGUAGAAAUGUAUGCACGCAUAUGUACAUGUAUAUAUAUUAUGCAUGUAAACACAUAGUAACUCUAUGAGUCAAAUUUAUACUUUUACUGACAUUCUGAGAAGGGAUUCGUAGGCUUUAGCGGACUGUCAAAGUGCUGCUGACACCAAUACAAAAGCCGUGUACUAAAAGCCACACCUGGUAUCACAGAAUACUGACAGCAACUCACAAGCCACUUCAUAUGUGUUGCCUCAUGUCACCCUUAUUACAGUGUGAGAAAGACAGAAUUCCUCCUUGUGGUCUGGAAGCUGUGAUGUCUUUCCGUUCCAGGGUUCCACCGGGCUACAGCACCGCAUUUAACCAUCCUAUUGCUUUUAAUUAGUUAUUACGUUAAGUUACACUAAUAAGUGUUCUGGUGUUGAACCAGACUUCCAUUGCAAAGGUAACACUACUUGAUCGUGAUGGAUUUUUUUUGCCUUGAUGGAAUGUUACUUAGAUGUUUGCAUUUAUCUGCACACCCAAAGACUGGUCUGUACUAGUCUUCCUUGGAACAAUGUCUCUAGUUUCUCUGUGAAGCGUUAUUCCACCUUUUCUUGGAUUCUCCCUUUUUCAGUUCUCUGGAAUGCUUGUAUGAGAGAAAGGAAUAAUCUUCUUGGAAGAUUUGGAAAAAAAAUGGACUGUAUUAUAAGCUGGGUUAUAUUUUCCCUCUUUUGGGAGAGGCAGCUUUUGAUUAUUUGCUGUUCCUUUAAUGUUUAUUGGUUUAUUUACGGUGUUUACUGUUUCCUGAGUGAUAAUUUAUAUUUUCCCAGUAGAUUUUUCCUUUCUAUUAAGUUUCAAUUGUUAGCAUAAAUUUGUUGAGAUUUUAAUAUCCUUCAUGGUCAAUUUUGUUGAUGUCCCAUGAGUAUGAAAGAAGAAUGUACAUUCCCAGCUUGCUGGGUACAGAGCUCUGAGUUUUC